GACACGAGACAACUGAAAGAUAUUUACAUAUUUAGCAUGUCAUGUCUUCUUGUAGUGUUUCAAGUUUCAUUAGGUUACUACACUAGUUAAUCUAGAAUCUUCCUAGUAGAUCUACAACUUCGAGAAGAAUGUAAAAAAAGAGGUGCCAAGAUAGCUUGAAGAAAGAAAGAUCUGAUCGACAGGCCGGACAGGUACAUUGAGUACUUGAAACAUGGACAUUCUGAAAGCUAUGUAUUUUUUAAAGCAGCAAUAUUCGCCCAAAUGAAGAAAGCAAAGUAUCUAGCUGAUGAUUUAAAAAUGGACACAAAUGGCAUAAUAUCUGAAGCGCAAUGUGAGUGUCCAGUCGGAAUGGGUCCAAGUGCACACUGUACGCACAUACAAGCGAUACAAUUAUAUGGACUAAGUAGAUUGAAAAAGGAUAAAGAAUUAAAAAUUCAACUAACAUGUACAGAAAAACUACAAAAAUUUCAUGUAGUAAAAAAACAAACAGGUUCGCCUGUAAAAGCAGAGUCUUUGAAACUUUUGGUUCCAGACAAUAUAAUCUAUGAUCCCCGCACAUACAAAAUGCCUAAAGAAAAUUAUAAUUCAUUUUUUAGAAACAUUGGGAUGUCUGCUAAAGAUGUCCCACAAAGACCUAUUUUCCAACUAUAUGAACCUGCCAAUAUUUGUGCUUAUGUCAAUGACCAUCAGUACACUAAAGUUCCUUUAGUAGAUAUUUAUUUAAAAAGUAUAGGACUAAAAGAUGUUACAAAUGAGGAUAUUAUUAAAAUAGAAAAAAAAAACAACUAGAGGACAGUCAUUAAACAAAUCAUGGAUAAAAGAUAGACUAAAAAGGGUUCAAUCAUCAAAUUUUGGUAGUAUUUGUAAGG